GGAAAGGCUCCCAUUACGGUAGCGAGCACAAUCUACACUUUAUCUACACACGAGCCCGCAAAGCCUUAUGCAACAACGGGAGGCGGGGGUUCGAAUCCCCCUCUCUCCGCCA
rnacentral:tRNA from 1 species